GUAGGGGGCAAGCGUUAUCCGGAUUUACUGGGUGUAAAGGGAGCGUAGACGGUGAUGCAAGUCAGAAGUGAAAGCCCGGGGCUCAACUCCGGGACUGCUUUUGAAACUGUGUAACUGGAGUGCAGGAGAGGUAAGCGGAAUUCCUGGUGUAGCGGUGAAAUGCGUAGAUAUUAGGAGGAACACCAGUGGCGAAGGCGGCUUACUGGACGAUGACUGACGCUGAGGCUCGAAAGCGUGGGGAGCA
rnacentral:rRNA from 1 species